GCCGAAGUGGUGGAAUUUGGUAGACACGCUAUCUUGAGGGGGUAGUGGGGGAAACCCCGUGCGGGUUCAAGUCCCGCCUUCGGCACCA
rnacentral:tRNA from 1 species